UACAGAGGUCUCAAGCGUUGUUCGGAUUCAUUGGGCGUAAAGGGUGCGUAGGCGGCGCGGUAAGUCGGGUGUGAAAUCUCGGAGCUUAACUCCGAAACUGCAUUCGAUACUGCCGUGCUUGAGGACUGGAGAGGAGACUGGAAUUUACGGUGUAGCGGUGAAAUGCGUAGAUAUCGUAAGGAAGACCAGUGGCGAAGGCGGGUCUCUGGGACAGUUCCUGACGCUGAGGCACGAAGGCCAGGGGAGCAAACGGG
rnacentral:rRNA from 1 species